rnacentral:rRNA from 1 species
GAAACUGGGGAUAAUACUGGAUAGGCAAUUUUUCCUGUAAUGGUUUUUUGUUUAAAUGUUUUUUUCGCCUAAGGAUGGGUCUGCGGCCGAUUAGGUAGUUGGUUAGGUAAUGGCUUACCAAGCCGUUGAUCGGUACGGGUUGUGAGAGCAAGAGCCCGGAGAUGGAACCUGAGACAAGGUUCCAGGCCCUACGGGGUGCAGCAGGCGCGAAACCUCCGCAAUGUGAGAAAUCGCGACGGGGGGAUCCCAAGUGCCAUUCUUAACGGGAUGGCUUUUCAUUAGUGUAAAGAGCUUUUGGAAUAAGAGCUGGGCAAGACCGGUGCCAGCCGCCGCGGUAACACCGGCAGCUCUAGUGGUAGCAAUUUUUAUUGGGCCUAAAGCGUCCGUAGCCGGUUUAAUAAGUCUCUGGUGAAAUCCUGCAGCUUAACUGUGGGAAUUGCUGGAGAUACUAUUAGACUUGAGACCGGGAGAGGUUAGAGGUACUCCCAGGGUAGAGGUGAAAUUCUGUAAUCCUGGGAGGACCGCCUGUUGCGAAGGCGUCUAACUGGAACGGUUCUGACGGUGAGGGACGAAAGUUAGGGGCGCGAACCGGAUUAGAUACCCGGGUAGUCCUAACUGUAAACGAUGCGGACUUGGUGUUGGGGUGGCUUUGAGCUGCUUCAGUGCCGAAGGGAAGCUGUUAAGUCCGCCGCCUGGGAAGUACGGUCGCAAGACUGAAACUUAA